CGGGAAGUAGCUCAGCUUGGUAGAGCACUUUGUUUGGGACCAAGGGGUCGCAGGUUCGAAUCCUGUCUUCCCGA
rnacentral:tRNA from 1 species